AGCAGGGCGGCGCCAUGACGACAUCACAGCGCGCCAAGUGGAUGACGUCACAACCCGGGGGGGGCCGUGCUGGGCUGCCCACGACAUCAAAGCCGGGGAAUGCUGCGUCGAUCAUGACAUCACAGCGCGCCAAGUGGAUGACGUCACAACCCGGGGGGGGCCGUGCUGGGCUGCCCACGACAUCAAAGCCGGGGAAUGCUGCGUCGAUCAUGACAUCACAGCGCGCCAAGUGGAUGACGUCACAACCCGGGGGGGCCGUGCUGGGCUGCCCACGACAUCAAAGCCGGGGAAUGCUGCGUCGAUCAUGACAUCACAGCGCGCCAAGUGAAUGACGUCACAGCCUGGGGGGGGUACUGCGCCCCCCAUUCCUGACCUCACACUGGGGAAAUGCUGCAUUGAGCAUGGCCCUGCACCAUGGUAGUGCUGUGGUGUUCAUGACAACACAGUGCCAUGCUGUGCAUGAUACCGCAUUGUGUGGGUGCCGCAUUGUGUCUGACAUCACAAUCAAGGACACCACAUUGUGACUUCACAAUGCAGGAUGUGUUAGAAACAGCCCGGCUGGAACUCAUUGCAGAAUCAGACACUAAGAUGGGACAUGAUAACUGACUACAGCUUGCAAACACCAAGCAAGAGGAGGAAUUAUUUAGGGUGGUACACAGAGAAACAACUGAAAGUGAUUAGGUGAAAUUAGGAGGGUUAACUUAGGCCGAAUAUCAGGAAACACUUCCUGACAGUGAGAUGUACUGGGUUGUGGAAUAGUCUCCCAAAGGAAGUGUGAAAGCCUCAUUGCUCUGGACUUUUAAAAUUGGAUCAUAAAAGAAAAGGAGUACUUGUGGCACCUUAAGAGCAGCUGCCCUAACAAUUCUUUCUCUUCUCUAAUAUAAUAUUAUGAUGACGAUAAUAAGCAAUCAAUCUCAUAUACAGUGAUUUUCAUCCAUAGAUCUCAAAGCAAAUUGUGUAUAUGAUUAACAAGUGGGUUUUUUUACCUGUGAAAGCUUAUGCCCAAAUAAAUCUGUUACUCUUUACGUUUCCACCGGACUCCUUAAUAUUAGUUUUAAAACCUCAAAUUACAAACCCUUUGUAAAAACCGUUGAUAAUUUUUAUUCAUGAGUUUCCAAUAAGUAGGCAAAACUACAGCACCCAGAAGGGAAAAUUCUCUCUCUUCAGAAACAGCACAGAAAAUAAAGGUAGAACAUGACAUGGGAAAAAUAACACAGAAAAAAUAAAAAAAGAACCCAAAUUUUGGUGAUAAAAGGCUUCAUACUGCUCCCAAUGAAAUCAACAGCAGAGAGCAGGAUUGGGUCCAUCGUCCAUAGUCCACCAGGUUGGUUAAGGGGAAGAAUAGAUAUACUAAUGUAUUUUAAUAACAAAUUCAGCUGUAUACAUAAAAAUAAAUCAAAAAUAAAAACAGCAGUUAAAUGUUUCCUACCUUUUGUACCUAGUCUCAUAUCCCUUGCUCAGUUAUAGCUGCCUAUAAUUUUAAAGUUUGCAUUGGGCUACUAAAACUAAAGUACAAACUUUAGAAUCAAAGGACUCAAAGUUCAGUUUUGUAUCAGUAAACUCCCUUUCUAAUCGAUGGCCGUUACUUGCACUCGUUUUCAGAUGGUGCUUGCCAAAAAAUUGUGAGCUUUUGCUUUUUGAAAAACAGUGCUAUAUAAGACAUUUAUUUUGUAGUGCUUAAUUAUAAGGACAAAUAAGAAUUUUUUAUGUCUACAUUUUUGACGUUUGUUCCCUAAGAAAUUAUAAGAUUUUCCUUUUUUUGCCACUUAUGUAAUAGACUAUAAGGGUUAAAAUUCUGUUAAUAUUACCAAAUGAAUACUAGCCAUGCGACCUACUACAUAGCUAGAACUUAGGAAGGCUUUAGAGACCAUAUUCUUCACAGUUCUUUGCAACCACCAAGAUAAUGGCAACAUAAUUUCUGCAGGAGAUGGACAAUUUAAAUAUGUGACCCUAAAGAAAUGAGGAGUUCAGCCAUAAAGUAGGUACAGAAGACAUUUCCAAAUGUGGAAUCAGUUACCACAGAGUCAUUGCAAUGCUGGGUGGAAGAAAAGCCAGAGGAAUUAAUCAUUCUUGACACCUGGAGUGCAGCUGAAUUUGAAGUCAGCCAGCUGCCGGGGCAAUACUCAUUGACCCUCAGAGUGAUACACUGCAAGAAUUUCUGCAGAAACAGCUCCUUCCAGAGCGUGAAUGAGUUCUUGUCAAGUGAAGCUGGCCAAACCCCCAAAACUUCCCUGCAUGUUUAUAAUGCAGAAGGAGGACUGGCAAAAUGGGCCAGUGAAAGAAGGCUGAUGGUGGACAAGCAGGAGCAUCCCAUUCACCUCGUUCACCCCUACAGUACAGCAUGGGCAAAACUACUGGAACCAGAGCUGCAAGCACAGAUCUAAAGCAUUUCCGCAAGUCUGAUCUAACUGGGGCCUCUAGGUGAAAUACAAAUUAAUAAUAAGAAUAAAAAUUAAUAGGUGCCCCAACCUCAACUGUGUUUUGUAGGCAUAACCAUAAUGCUACUAAUAGAGGAUUACAAUAUGUAUUGUAGUUGUUUUAAUUGGUGGGCAGAACUGGCUAAAGAUACUAAGCUAGCUUUUCAGCUGGUCUAAAGUGGAGUAGGAACUGAAGUCAAGUCAGAUAUGACAAUUUACACCAGUUAGACUGAAAUCUAGAUUAACAAAGAGCACAGGACAAUACAGAAUCCAUCCGCAGUCUGGUGAAAAGGGAGAAGUCCUGGCAAAUGCUGGGAACAAGGUUAUUGUGCCAAAGCAUAAGAAAUGUAAUAAAGAUACAUCAGUUCUCCUCUUACGCCAAGAUGGAACAGAACACUUCAGCUUUAUGAACCUUUUCCUUCAGUCUCCCGGUCUAUCACUCUGACACCUAUCAUAAGCAUCUUUUAAAAAAUAAUAUCUAAUAAAAAAAACACAGAUAGAAUCCCACGGUCCAAAUCAUGACAAAUGGUAAAGCAAAGCACUGCAUUUUUAGCAUCUCUGUUACUGUUUAAAUUUGCUGGUGGAGUCCUGUAUUCAACAGAUAGCUUGUCUAGAUGCAUCUAAUCUUUCUGGGAAUAACAGCUGGGCCAGUCACAUAGGUAAAGAGAAAGAGUGCCGGCUGGAGAUGCACAGUAACUGGUAAAUAAAAUGCUAUGAUUAAGUAAGAUUAUUUCCUGCUGGUGAGUUAGGUUCUAAACAUAUAUAAGCUCACCCACAUAUGAUGAAAAUAAUUUUAAAUUCUUGGUCCUUGCAAAGGUGAUGCACAAAUAGUUACAGUUUCAUGGAGGCCUAAAUAAAUAUUUGGGAAGAAGUAUAAACCCGCUCUUUAACUGCAAUCUAACCAACCUGUCGGUGCUUAUUAUUUGCUCAAUUGCUGUAUAAUCUUGCUGGCAGCUCUGAAAUCCUUCGGAAGCAUUUCUAAAUAUACACACCUCUCACCUUGGUUACUGGACUUUUUAGGCAAGUGAAAAUAGCACAUCACUUUUUGAACCUCUGUCUUUUCCUAGACCACUUUAUUUUAAAAGUAGCUGUUGACUUAUUUUAAAUAGUCGAAUAUGCAGUACUACAGCCAAAAGAAAUCUGAAACAGUUAUUAUAAUUUCUGAGGUGCCUGAUCUUGUAGUUUUACUCUGGCAAA